rnacentral:rRNA from 1 species
AGCAGCCGCGGUAAUUCCAGCUCCAAUAGCGUAUAUUAAAGUUGUUGCAGUUAAAGAGCUCGUAGUUGAAUUUUAGGCCUGGCCGGGCGGUCCGUCUUUGGCGAGUACUGUCCUGUGUCGGGUCUUCCUUCUGGUGAACCAGUAUGUCCUUUAUUGGGUGUGCCGGGGAGCCAGGACCAUUACCUUGAAAAAUUAGAGUGUUUAAAGCGGGCUUUUGCUUGAAUAGAUUAGCAUGGAAUAAUAGAAUAGGACGUUGUGGUUCUAUUUUGUUGGUUUCUAGGACCACCGUAAUGAUUAAUAGGGACAGUUGGGGGCAUUAGUAUUCAAUUGUCAGAGGUGAAAUUCUUGGAUUUAUUGAAGACUAACUAUUGCGAAAGCAUUUGCCAAGGAUGUUUUCAUUAAUCAAGAACGAAAGUUAGGGGAUCGAAGACGAUCAGAUACCGUCGUAGUCUUAACCAUAAACUAUGCCGACUAGGAAUCGGGCGACGUUAUUUUCAUGACUCGCUCGGCGCCUUAUGGG